AACGAACGCUGGCGGCAUGCCUAACACAUGCAAGUCGAACGAGACCUUCGGGUCUAGUGGCGCACGGGUGCGUAACGCGUGGGAACCUGCCCUUAGGUUCGGAAUAACUCCCCGAAAGGGGUGCUAAUACCGGAUAAUGUCUUCGGACCAAAGAUUUAUCGCCUUUGGAUGGUCCCGCGUUGGAUUAGCUAGUUGGUAGGGUAAAAGCCUACCAAGGCGACGAUCCAUAGCUGGUCUGAGAGGAUGAUCAGCCACACUGGGACUGAGACACGGCCCAGACUCCUACGGGAGGCAGCAGUGUGGAAUAGUGGACAAUGGGCGAAAGCCUGAUCCAGCAAUGCCGCGUGAGUGAUGAAGGCCUUAGGGUUGUAAAGCUCUUUUAACCGGGAUGAUAAUGACAGUACCGGGAGAAUAAGCUCCGGCUAACUCCGUG
rnacentral:rRNA from 1 species